rnacentral:piRNA from 1 species
UGAUCUUUAACUGAAGUGCAUCGUACAAGA